GCAAGAGCCGUGUCGACUGGGGGCGGUGAUAAGCGUGGGGAUAAUCUUGCAGUGGCCUCUGCUCAAGGGAAACAUGUUAUCAGCAGUGCUAGCUCGGACGCUCUGACUGCGGCGGAUGCAGACAAUGACAUGGAAGUCAUUGUCGACCCAAACCAACUAAAGAGCAGUGUGGACAAGGAUUUUAGCAUAGUUGAUGAACAAUUAAAAAGUCGAAAGAAAAGGGCAGGAUGAUUUUCAAGUAAAUGUGUAGUAUUAUCAUUAUUCAUUAGUAUGCAUACAUAAAUAAUUUGCAUAGUUUUGUAAUUUUUGUUAUUUAAUCAUUCUUAGACGAUCCGAUUAACAAUAUUUAGUUUGAUUUUACCCAUGUUUUUUCUUACCGUCUGAUUGUAUAUGAUUUUGAUGCUUAGCAUGUUGAUCUUGUUUGGGCGCAAUCAUGAUCAUGUAGCUGAUUAAUCGUUGCAAGCUUUGAUCAACCAAGCGAUGUUCC